rnacentral:lncRNA from 1 species
GGAAGCUGGGAAGUCCAAGAUGAAGGUGCCAACAAGAUUCAGUGUCUGGUUCUGAUAAAAGAGAGAACUAGAGAAGGACAGUGAAAUGGGACAACAGACUUGCUCCUUUCAGUUUUGCCUGCUGUUCUUGUCAACAUUACUCUAGGAAUGACCCUUCACUGAAGCAGCAGCAGUGGGUUCCAGUCUUCACCUUCUUUGAGUGCUCCAGAACCAGCCUCCCUGUGUCCCUUAGAUGUACUCAUUUGGGCAGUGUCCCCUCCUCAGAGUUCUGAGGCCCAGCUCUGCCAAUCUUCUGAUACCUCUGUGUUCCCCUUUUUGCUUUUUGAAUUGUCCACUGCCUGUUUAACCAACUCCUUGUAUUAGACUCCAUGUCAAAACACCUAAAAUGAAUUCUAUUUUUCCAUGGAAGUGACUUUUAUUUUUCAGUGUCUUGAAAUCAGAAAUAAAUUGUCUGAAUCGGUU